rnacentral:rRNA from 1 species
UGGGGAAUAUUGGACAAUGGGCGCAAGCCUGAUCCAGCCAUGCCGCGUGAGUGAUGAAGGCCCUAGGGUUGUAAAGCUCUUUCAUCGGUGAAGAUAAUGACGGUAACCGGAGAAGAAGCCCCGGCUAACUUCGUGCCAGCAGCCGCGGUAAUACGAAGGGGGCUAGCGUUGUUCGGAUUUACUGGGCGUAAAGCGCACGUAGGCGGACUUUUAAGUCAGGGGUGAAAUCCCGGGGCUCAACCCCGGAACUGCCUUUGAUACUGGAAGUCUUGAGUAUGGUAGAGGUGAGUGGAAUUCCGAGUGUAGAGGUGAAAUUAGUAGACAUUCGGAGGAACACCAGUGGCGAAGGCGGCUCACUGGACCAUUACUGACGCUGAGGUGCGAAAGCGUGGGGAGCAAACAGG